AUUUUUAUUUAUUUUUUGAUUUAAACUAAUUGGUAAAUCAAUCGUUAAAUUUAUUCAAUAAUCAGUUCAAUUUUACAUACGCUUGUGCAUGAAUAUGAUGAUCAGAUGGAGAUCGUAAAUGAGUUGUUUUGUAUAUAUUUCUUUAAACAUAUUAAUUAGACAGUAUUAAAAGUAAUUUUUAAUUAAAAUAUACAUAUUUUUGUUAUAAUAAAGAAAAUUAUAAAAUAAUAAUUAAUAUAUAGGGUUUUCAAAUAGCUUGUUUCACUAGCAUCUACAGAAACCUCUAUCCCAUAUACAAAUUAAUUAGUAGACGCCUUCGAUAAAAUCGCCUUGCCAAAUUUUCCUGUAUAUUAAACAUGUUACCACUUCUCUAUAAAAAACAUAUAUGCAACGUCCUUCUCUUAGUUAAACCAAUCCAGAGUUGUAUACAAAACCAUUGAAUAUGAAUUCUCCUUCUUCUUUUUCUUCUUCCUUUUAUCCACUAAAACAUGCUGUGUUCCUUAGUUUUAAAGGUGCAGAUACCCGUAAUAAUUUUACUAGCCAUCUCUAUGGUGCUUUGUGUCGCCAAGGAAUUGUGACGUUCAUAGACAAUAGACUUGAAAGAGGAAAGGAGAUUGACCCAGCAAUCUUGAAAGCAAUAGAAUACUCUGAUAUUUCUGUUAUUAUUUUCUCAAAAAAUUAUGCACAUUCGCCAUGGUGCUUGGACGAACUUACAAAGAUCUUCGAGUGCAAGGACAAACUAGGACAGAAGGUAAUUCCUGUAUUUUACCAUGUACAUCCAACAGAUGUAGACAACCAAACUGCAAGUUUUGGAGACGCAUUUGCUAAGCAUGAGCAAGAUUUCAAGGACAAUCCGGACAAGGCGCGAAAGUGGAGAACUACAUUGAGUAGAGCAGCCAAUAUUUCUGGGGAGGUUUGACUGAGAUCAAGUAAUUACCUUUACUUUUACAAUUCUGAUAAUACUAAUAACUUAAUUGAUUUAUCUACUGUGAUUAUUUGUUUAAUUUGUGUUUCGUACCUAAACUUUCUAUAGUUUGUUCUUCAUAUACUAUUACUAGGACCGAGUUUACACUUGUUCAAGAUGUUGUCAACAACAUUUUGAAAUGUAUGAAGGAUUUAUACCUAAAGGAAGUGCCAAAUCUAGUCGGCCUAUCAUCAAGAAUCAAACAGAUUGAGUCAUUACUAUGUGUUGGCCUAGAUGAUGAGGUUCGCUUUGUUAGAAUAUGGGGAAUGGGAGGCAUUGAUAAAACGACUCUUGCCAGAGAAGUGUUUAAAAAAAUCUCUUAUCACUUUGAAGGGUACUGCUUUUUAGAACACGUUAGAGAAAUAUCAUCAAAAACUUAAUUAGAAAAUGAGCUUCUUGUUGAAAUAUUUGGUGAAGGAGAUAACAAUUCAAGAUCGAUGCUGGGAAUGCACCAGCUUCGCUAUAAAAAGGUUCUUGUUGUACUUG
rnacentral:misc_RNA from 1 species